rnacentral:rRNA from 1 species
AUGUACUUAGCAAGUGCUACAAGACCUGACAUCUCUUUUGCUGUUAGCAAACUGAGUCGGUUUGUUUCAAAACCAGGAGAUGUGCAUUGGAAAGCUCUAGAGAGAGUUUUGCGUUAUUUGAAAGGCACUGCGAAUUAUGGAAUUCACUACACUGGGCAUCCAAAGGUGCUUGAAGGGUAUAGUGACUCAAACUGGAUCUCAGAUGUUGAUGAGAUAAAGGCCACAAGCGGUUAUGUAUUCACUCAUGGAGGUGGCGCUGUUUCUUGGAAGUCUUGCAAGCAGACCAUCUUAACGAGGUCAACUAUGGAAGCAGAACUCACAGCACUAGAUACAGCUACGGUCGAAGCAGAUUGGCUUCGCCGACUCUUGAAUGACUUGCCGGUUGUUGAGAAACCUGUACCGGGUGUCCUUAUGAACUGCAACAAUCAAACUGUGAUCACGAAAGUGAGCAGCUCAAAGGAUAACAUGAAGUCAUCAAGACACGUUCAGAGAAGGUUAAAGUCUGUCAGGAAAAUGAAAAACUCCGGAGUUAUUGCAUUGGAUUAUGUC